UUUGAUGGCGACCGGCGCACGGGUGAGUAACACGUAUCCAACCUGCCGAUGACUCGGGGGUAGCCUUUCGAAAGAAAGAUUAAUACCCGAUGGCAUAGUUCUUCCGCAUGGUAGAACUAUUAAAGAAUUUCGGUCAUCGAUGGGGAUGCGUUCCAUUAGCUUGUUGGCGGGGUAACGGCCCACCAAGGCGUCGAUGGAUAGGGGUUCUGAGAGGAAGGUCCCCCACAUUGGAACUGAGACACGGUCCAAACUCCUACGGGAGGCAGCAG
rnacentral:rRNA from 1 species